rnacentral:rRNA from 1 species
GACGAACGCUGGCGGCGUGCUUAACACAUGCAAGUCGAACGAAGUGGCGAACGGGUGAGUAAUACGUGGGUAACCUGCCCUCCUUUUUGGGAUAAGCCUUGGAAACGGGGUCUAAUACCGAAUAAGGGGGAUGGGCUCGCGGCCUAUCAGCUUGUUGGUGGGGUGAUGGCCCACCAAGGCGAUGAUGAGUAGCCGGUCUGAGAGGAUGAACGGCCACAUUGGGACUGAGACACUGCCCAGACCCCCACGGGAGGCAGCAGUGGGGAAUCUUCCGCAAUGGACGAAAGUCUGACGAGGCAACGCCGCGGGAGUGAUGACGGCCUUCGGGUUGUAAAGCUCUGUUAAUCGGGACGCGGUACCGGAAUAGAAAGCCACGGCUAACUACGUGCCAGCCGCCGCGGUAAUAC